GCCUGGAGCCUCACCAUGGCCUGGACCCUCCUGCUCCCCCUGCUCACACUCUGCACAGGUCCUGUGGCCUCUUCAGUAGUGACUCAGCCCCCAGCAGUGUCUGUGGCCCCCGGACAGACGGCCAGGAUCACCUGCCAGGGAGAACUCGUAAAAGAAUCUUACGCAAGCUGGUACCAGCAAAAGCCCGGCCAGGCCCCCGUGUUGGUCGUCUAUAGUGACGAAAACAGGACCUCAAAGAUCCCUGAACGAUUCUCUGGCUCUGACUCAGGGGACACCGACACCCUGACCAUCAGCAGGGCCCAGGCCCAGGACUAUUACUGUGCGGUGUUGGACAAUAUUGCUGAAACUCACAGUGAUACAGGCGGAUGGGGAAGUGUGACAGAAACCUCCCUUUGUCACCCUCUCUUCCAGCCCCAAGGACUGCAGACCAAGACACAUCCCAGCCCAUCUGAGCUCAUGAAGCCCCAGGACCUGGCAGCCUGGGUGCUGAACAACCAAACCCGAGCUGUGGGCACAGAGGAGCCCAUCCAGGUCCCUGCUCAGGGGUGA